rfam:Homo sapiens chromosome 6, GRCh38 reference primary assembly.
GCUUGGCGCAGUGGUGUUCUCCUGUAGUCCCAGCUACAGGAGGCUGAGGCAGGAGGAUUGCUUGAGCCCAGGAGUUCAAGGUUGCAGUGAGCUGUCAUCAUGCCACUGCACUCUAGCCUGGGCAGUAGAGCAAGAUCCUGUCCCCC